CCUACGGGAGGCAGCAGUGGGGAAUUUUGGACAAUGGGCGCAAGCCUGAUCCAGCCAUGCCGCGUGCAGGAUGAAGGCCUUCGGGUUGUAAACUGCUUUUGUACGGAACGAAAAGGUCUUUUUAAUAAAGAGGGCCCAUGACGGUACCGUAAGAAUAAGCACCGGCUAACUACGUGCCAGCAGCCGCGGUAAUACGUAGGGUGCAAGCGUUAAUCGGAAUUACUGGGCGUAAAGCGUGCGCAGGCGGUAAUGUAAGACAGAUGUGAAAUCCCCGGGCUCAACCUGGGAACUGCAUUUGUGACUGCAUUGCUGGAGUGCGGCAGAGGGGGAUGGAAUUCCGCGUGUAGCAGUGAAAUGCGUAGAUAUGCGGAGGAACACCGAUGGCGAAGGCAAUCCCCUGGGCCUGCACUGACGCUCAUGCACGAAAGCGUGGGGAGCAAACAGGAUUAGAUACCCUGGUAGUCCACGCCCUAAACGAUGUCAACUGGUUGUUGGGUCUUCAUUGACUCAGUAACGAAGCUAACGCGUGAAGUUGACCGCCUGGGGAAGUACGGCCGCAAGGUUGAAACUCAAANAGAGUUAGACGCGUGAGACGUAGACCGAGGACGACGACGAGGGGAGGAGG
rnacentral:rRNA from 1 species